AGAGUUUGAUCCUGGCUCAGGACGAACGCUGGCGGUGUGCUUAACACAUGCAAGUCGAACGGUAAGGCCCUUUUUUGGGGUACACGAGUGGCGAACGGGUGAGUAACACGUGAGUAACCUGCCCUCAUCUCUGGGAUAACAGUCGGAAACGGUUGCUAAUACUGGAUAUGAGCUUGCAAGGCAUCUUGUGGGUUGGAAAGAUAUUUUUUGGUUGGGGAUGGACUCGCGGCCUAUCAGCUUGUUGGUGAGGUAGUGGCUCACCAAGGCUUCGACGGGUAGCCGGCCUGAGAGGGCGACCGGCCACAUUGGGACUGAGAUACGGCCCAGACUCCUACGGGAGGCAGCAGUGGGGAAUAUUGCACAAUGGACGGAAGUCUGAUGCAGCAACGCCGCGUGCGGGAUGACGGCCUUCGGGUUGUAAACCGCUUUCAUCCAUGACGAAGCUUUUGUGACGGUAGUGGGUAAAGAAGCACCGGCUAACUACGUGCCAGCAGCCGCGGUGAUACGUAGGGUGCGAGCGUUGUCCGGAUUUAUUGGGCGUAAAGAGCUUGUAGGCGGUUUGUCGCGUCGGGAGUGAAAACUUAAGGCUUAACUUUGAGCUUGCUUUCGAUACGGGCUGACUUGAGGGAGGUAGGGGAGAAUGGAAUUCCUGGUGGAGCGGUGGAAUGCGCAGAUAUCAGGAGGAACACCGGUGGCGAAGGCGGUUCUCUGGACCUUUCCUGACGCUGAGAAGCGAAAGCGUGGGGAGCAAACAGGCUUAGAUACCCUGGUAGUCCACGCUGUAAACGGUGGGUACUAGGUGUGGGGGACAUUCCACGUUCUCCGUGCCGUAGCUAACGCAUUAAGUACCCCGCCUGGGGAGUACGGCCGCAAGGCUAAAACUCAAAGGAAUUGACGGGGCCCCGCACAAGCGGCGGAGCAUGCGGAUUAAUUCGAUGCAACGCGAAGAACCUUA
rnacentral:rRNA from 1 species